rnacentral:rRNA from 1 species
UUGUGAGGUUAAGCGACUAAGCGUACACGGUGGAUGCCCUGGCAGUCAGAGGCGAUGAAGGACGUGCUAAUCUGCGAUAAGCGUCGGUGAGGUGAUAUGAACCGUUAUAACCGGCGAUUUCCGAAUGGGGAAACCCAGUGUGUUUCGACACACUAUCAUUAACUGAAUCCAUAGGUUAAUGAGGCGAACCGGGGGAACUGAAACAUCUAAGUACCCCGAGGAAAAGAAAUCAACCGAGAUUCCCCCAGUAGCGGCGAGCGAACGGGGAGGAGCCCAGAGCCUGAAUCAGUGUGUGUGUUAGUGGAAGCGUCUGGAAAGGCGCGCGAUACAGGGUGACAGCCCCGUACACAAAAAUGCACAUACUGUGAGCUCGAUGAGUAGGGCGGGACACGUGGUAUCCUGUCUGAAUAUGGGGGGACCAUCCUCCAAGGCUAAAUACUCCUGACUGACCGAUAGUGAACCAGUACCGUGAGGGAAAGGCGAAAAGAACCCCGGCGAGGGGAGUGAAAAAGAACCUGAAACCGUGUACGUACAAGCAGUGGGAGCCUCUUAAUGGGGUGACUGCGUACCUUUUGUAUAAUGGGUCAGCGACUUAUAUUCUGUAGCAAGGUUAACCGAAUAGGGGAGCCGAAGGGAAACCGAGUCUUAACUGGGCGUUAAGUUGCAGGGUAUAGACCCGAAACCCGGUGAUCUAGCCAUGGGCAGGUUGAAGGUUGGGUAACACUAACUGGAGGACCGAACCGACUAAUGUUGAAAAAUUAGCGGAUGACUUGUGGCUGGGGGUGAAAGGCCAAUCAAACCGGGAGAUAGCUGGUUCUCCCCGAAAGCUAUUUAGGUAGCGCCUCGUGAAUUCAUCUCCGGGGGUAGAGCACUGUUUCGGCAAGGGGGUCAUCCCGACUUACCAACCCGAUGCAAACUGCGAAUACCGGAGAAUGUUAUCACGGGAGACACACGGCGGGUGCUAACGUCCGUCGUGAAGAGGGAAACAACCCAGACCGCCAGCUAAGGUCCCAAAGUCAUGGUUAAGUGGGAAACGAUGUGGGAAGGCCCAGACAGCCAGGAUGUUGGCUUAGAAGCAGCCAUCAUUUAAAGAAAGCGUAAUAGCUCACUGGUCGAGUCGGCCUGCGCGGAAGAUGUAACGGGGCUAAACCAUGCACCGAAGCUGCGGCAGCGACGCUUAUGCGUUGUUGGGUAGGGGAGCGUUCUGUAAGCCUGUGAAGGUGGCCUGUGAGGGUUGCUGGAGGUAUCAGAAGUGCGAAUGCUGACAUAAGUAACGAUAAAGCGGGUGAAAAGCCCGCUCGCCGGAAGACCAAGGGUUCCUGUCCAACGUUAAUCGGGGCAGGGUGAGUCGACCCCUAAGGCGAGGCCGAAAGGCGUAGUCGAUGGGAAACAGGUUAAUAUUCCUGUACUUGGUGUUACUGCGAAGGGGGGACGGAGAAGGCUAUGUUGGCCGGGCGACGGUUGUCCCGGUUUAAGCGUGUAGGCUGGUUUUCCAGGCAAAUCCGGAAAACCAAGGCUGAGGCGUGAUGACGAGGCACUACGGUGCUGAAGCGACAAAUGCCCUGCUUCCAGGAAAAGCCUCUAAGCAUCAGGUAACAUCAAAUCGUACCCCAAACCGACACAGGUGGUCAGGUAGAGAAUACCAAGGCGCUUGAGAGAACUCGGGUGAAGGAACUAGGCAAAAUGGUGCCGUAACUUCGGGAGAAGGCACGCUGAUAUGUAGGUGAAGCGACUUGCUCGUGGAGCUGAAAUCAGUCGAAGAUACCAGCUGGCUGCAACUGUUUAUUAAAAACACAGCACUGUGCAAACACGAAAGUGGACGUAUACGGUGUGACGCCUGCCCGGUGCCGGAAGGUUAAUUGAUGGGGUUAGCGGUAACGCGAAGCUCUUGAUCGAAGCCCCGGUAAACGGCGGCCGUAACUAUAACGGUCCUAAGGUAGCGAAAUUCCUUGUCGGGUAAGUUCCGACCUGCACGAAUGGCGUAAUGAUGGCCAGGCUGUCUCCACCCGAGACUCAGUGAAAUUGAACUCGCUGUGAAGAUGCAGUGUACCCGCGGCAAGACGGAAAGACCCCGUGAACCUUUACUAUAGCUUGACACUGAACAUUGAGCCUUGAUGUGUAGGAUAGGUGGGAGGCUUUGAAGUGUGGACGCCAGUCUGCAUGGAGCCGACCUUGAAAUACCACCCUUUAAUGUUUGAUGUUCUAACGUGGGCCCCUUACCGGGGUUGCGGACAGUGUCUGGUGGGUAGUUUGACUGGGGCGGUCUCCUCCUAAAGAGUAACGGAGGAGCACGAAGGUUGGCUAAUCCUGGUCGGACAUCAGGAGGUUAGUGCAAUGGCAUAAGCCAGCUUGACUGCGAGCGUGACGGCGCGAGCAGGUGCGAAAGCAGGUCAUAGUGAUCCGGUGGUUCUGAAUGGAAGGGCCAUCGCUCAACGGAUAAAAGGUACUCCGGGGAUAACAGGCUGAUACCGCCCAAGAGUUCAUAUCGACGGCGGUGUUUGGCACCUCGAUGUCGGCUCAUCACAUCCUGGGGCUGAAGUAGGUCCCAAGGGUAUGGCUGUUCGCCAUUUAAAGUGGUACGCGAGCUGGGUUUAGAACGUCGUGAGACAGUUCGGUCCCUAUCUGCCGUGGGCGCUGGAGAACUGAGGGGGGCUGCUCCUAGUACGAGAGGACCGGAGUGGACGCAUCACUGGUGUUCGGGUUGUCAUGCCAAUGGCACUGCCCGGUAGCUAAAUGCGGAAGAGAUAAGUGCUGAAAGCAUCUAAGCACGAAACUUGCCCCGAGAUGAGUUCUCCCUGACUCCUUGAGAGUCCUGAAGGAACGUUGAAGACGACGACGUUGAUAGGCCGGGUGUGUAAGCGCAGCGAUGCGUUGAGCUAACCGGUACUAAUGAACCGUGAGGCUUAACCUUACAA